CUGGAACUGAGACACGGUCCAGACUCCUACGGGAGGCAGCAGUGGGGAAUAUUGGACAAUGGGCGAAAGCCUGAUCCAGCCAUGCCGCGUGUGUGAAGAAGGUCUUCGGAUUGUAAAGCACUUUAAGUUGGGAGGAAGGGCAGUAAAUUAAUACUUUGCUGUUUUGACGUUACCGACAGAAUAAGCACCGGCUAACUCUGUGCCAGCAGCCGCGGUAAUACAGAGGGUGCAAGCGUUAAUCGGAAUUACUGGGCGUAAAGCGCGCGUAGGUGGUUUGUUAAGUUGGAUGUGAAAUCCCCGGGCUCAACCUGGGAACUGCAUUCAAAACUGACAAGCUAGAGUAUGGUAGAGGGUGGGGAAUUUCCUGUGUAGCGGGAAAUGCGUAGAUAUAGGAAGGAACACCAGGGCGAAGGCGACCACGGGACGAUACGACACGAGGGGAAAGUGUAGCAGAGGGGGAGGGGGUAGGUCC
rnacentral:rRNA from 1 species